ACCAUUUCAAAAAAAAAUAAUUACACUAUUUGGCCAUAAUUUAGACACCUCUGUUAUUGACUAUAAGUUCGUCUUAUCUAUGAUGCCCUUCCAUCUUAAUCUCGUCUGUCUAUGAUUUCAACAACUCACGCAACUCACCAUGUUAUUUUGGAGUUUUGGUUAUUUUGGUAAGGGCUGGUGCAGUUAUUUCCAACGUUAGAGCUUAAGUUUAACCAUAAAGUUACGAGCUUUACCAGAAGAAUAAAAGGCACAUUCCUCAAUUUUAUUAAGAAUUGAUGUGAGAAUUCCGUCAGCUAGUAGAACCUCAUCCGCCCUCAAGACCACCAGACAAAACUCACAAAUUAGGCUGUCCUGUUAGAAAAGGAAUAUUAUGAAAGUGGAGGUCAUUGGUUGUAUGUCUCUUCAACUCCAGAAUGCGAUAAAGUUAGAAUUAUCUGUAGGAAGCAGAAACUUUCUAUUGUGGAUAAAGAUCUAUAACAAUGAAUUGAUUGACUGAAGAAUGAGAGACCAUUGUGGUUGUUUGUCUGCAAUGAUAUCAUUUUCCUGGAUCUGGAUUACAAUACCUUACAACAUCAUGCAUUUAGUUUUGGACUGAUGGGUGAGAGCAUCUGAAACAACUUAUGAGACAACUUAUAUCUACAAUGGCAUUAAUCUUGGAUUUGAUUUGCUCUUCACACUUGGAAACUUUGGGCCUUACGUUCUAAAGUUAAUUUAGGUCAACGGUGGAGAAGA